AAGCACUGUUCAUGACCUGUUGGCUGUGCUGUGGCUAACGGGUUCUAGUCCAGUGCUACAGCAGCCCCACUGCAACCCUCGGACCACCUGAUGGUAGCUCUCAGUGUCAGGUCCUGAACACAAGCAUGAGGGGAAAAUA
ensembl:snoRNA